rnacentral:rRNA from 1 species
GAUGAACGCUGACAGAAUGCUUAACACAUGCAAGUCAACUGUGGCGGACGGGUGAGUAACGCGUAAAGAACUUGCCUCACAGCUAGGGACAACAUUUGGAAACGAAUGCUAAUACCUGAUACUGUGAGAGAGCUUUGCGUCCCAUUAGCUAGUUGGCGAGGUAACGGCUCACCAAGGCGAUGAUGGGUAGCCGGCCUGAGAGUGUGAUCGGCCACAAGGGGACUGAUACACGGCACUUAUCCCUACGGGAGCCAGCAGUGGGGAAUAUGUGACAAUGGACCAAAGUCUGAUCCAGCAAUUCUGUGUGCACCAUGAAGUUUUCGGAAUGUAAAGUGCUUUCAGUUGGGAAGCGGUACCAACAGAAGAAGUGACGGCUAAAUACGUGCCAGCAGCCGCGGUAAUUC